rnacentral:rRNA from 1 species
UAAUACGUAGGGGGCUAGCGUUGUCCGGAAUCAUUGGGCGUAAAGCGCGCGUAGGCGGCCCGGUAAGUCCGCUCUGAAAGUCCAGGGCUCAACCCUGGAAAGCGGGUGGAUACUGCCGGGCUAGAAUCCGGAGGAGGCGAGUGGAAUUCCUGGUGUAGCGGUGGAAUGCGCAGAUAUCAGGAGGAACACCAAUAGCGAAGGCAGCUCGCUGGGACGGUAUUGACGCUGAGGCGCGAAAGCGUGGGGAGCAAACAGGAUUAGAUACCCUGGUAGUCCACGCCGUAAACGAUGGGCACUAGGUGUGGGAGGUGUCGACUCCUCCCGUGCCGACGCUAACGCAUUAAGUGCCCCGCCUGGGGAGUACGGCCGCAAGGCU